rnacentral:misc_RNA from 1 species
AAACUGCGACAAGUAAUGUGAAAUGCAUUAUCUGUGAAUCAUCGAGUCUUUGAACGCAUUUUGCACUCUGUUUCGCAGAGUAUGUCUGUUCGAGCAUGGGGACACUUUGUUACCACGGUAGUGUUUUGACUGCACAAGGGUUGGCGGUUGAAAAGCAUGGGGUGUGAAAUGUUGGUGAAUAGUGUGAUUUGAUUUGAUUAGUCAAAUUAAUUUAACCUUAUAUCAGCAUCCCCUCUAUAAUCUCAAAUCUCGAAUCAGACAAGAUUACCCGCUGAACUUAA